AUGUCCCGAUGCGUGUGGGCCUUGGCCGAUGAAACACUUGUUUCCCACAUGUCAGAUAACUUGGAGGCUAAUGCAAGGAUCUGGCUGUUUGAGUUGCACAAGACGUUGGACCAUGCUAAUUUCACGAGGAUGGUCAUUAUCCCGUGGUCCAUUUGGUAUGCUAGGCAGAAGGCCAUGUAUGAAUCAAUCUUUCAGAGUCCGCAACAGACUACUUCGUUUGUCAACAACUACAUCGAUGAGCUAGGUCACCUGAAUGACACGAGGGAGCAUGAAAUAACACGUACUAUUACACCUGCACAACCGAAGCGGUGGUUACCACCCCGAAGUGGCAUUGUGAAGGUUAACAUGGAUGGAGCAGUAGUGAGAUCCCGGCGCGGAGGAGCGGUCGCGGCAGUAUGCCGAAACCAGGAAGGCCAAUAUCUGGGUUCAUCGACGGUUAUUUUUCAAGGAAUCAACGAUCCUUUGACUUUGGAGACUUAUGCUUGCCGUGAAGCCUUUGGAGACUUAUGCUUGGCAUUGGCUGAUGAUCUUGUGAUGCAGAAUAUUUGGGUGGCCUCGGACUGUCAAGAGGUAGUGAAUGAUAUCACCAGGGGGACAGGAGGUCCCAGUGUUGCGUUGCGCCAUACCACCGGCAAUUGCAAGCACGACUGCUUGGGUCCGCCGCCUCAUCCGUGCUCGACUGCAAGCACCCACGAGGCACGUGCUUUGCCUCCUCCAGAUCCACGAAGUGAGGCAGAAAGAAAUAUGACAUCGAUGAUUCAAGGAUGCAUGUUCAUCUCCCCCCAACCUAUAAGGCUAGAUAUUGUUACAGAUCUAACCAGGAUAACUACACUUCCAUGGAACUGUACUUCUCGCCAUGUUGUUUUCAGGCAAGACAUUGUUACAGAUCCAACAGACAUUGAAUUACCAUUUUGUUCUCCACAUGUUCCCUAUGUGCCUUAUGAUUCACAUUGCAGCCAAAGCGUUGGAGUUUCCCAUAUUUUUGGUACAUGCGGUGGAAGUGAUCUUAGCGACUCUCAGCUCAGCAAGCAGCGUGGUUUCCGCAUGAUAGGACUGAACGUCUCUUGGCCAUUGUACGAUCUGGCUAGUGACCGUACACGUCCUCCCAACCCUGCACGUAUCCCCCUCUCCGAGAUACUACGUGAUCCGUAUGCUACGUCUGCGGGGUUCGUGGGUACAGCGAACCUCAUGCGAAGAAGGGCACUGCCUCUUCGGAAUGAGAAAGGUCAGGACACAUCAACGGGAGGCAAUCGACCAAGACGCACGCGAAACCAGCUGCCCGCAGAUCUGAUGUGCAGGCAGCACAUGUGGGCGCCAAUCCACGAUACGGGUCGCCGGCCGGGACAGCAAACUCCGAAGAGGCCGGUCGAUGCAGCAAAUUACGGUAGAGUAGAAAACGACUCGGGUGUAGUGGUGGACUUCACGCGAGGUUACUUUGGUGUGGCGGUGAGACAGGGGAACCGUGCCUGUGCAGCUUACCGGCAGUCUCGUCACAGCCCGCCGACCCGACGGUGGGACACAAACCCUAAACAGACACAAAAGACAUCUAAAACCAAAGGAGGAGCUGUCCCACCGGCAGGGGCGAGAUCCACCAUGCCUCUAUGGCCUAAAGCCAUAGGAGAUGAGGAAGAUCUGCAGCACCACUCGCUGGAGGCGAGAGACCCUAGUCGCCCUUGGACUUGCGAGAGCAUAGGUAAACGGGGUGUCGUCUGCGGCCACGUCAGACUUGUUGGCCAAGCUGGCGGGGCUCUAAUCGGCCAUUGUACUCUUGCUAAUACCCCCGUCGUUGCGUGA
rnacentral:rRNA from 1 species